rnacentral:rRNA from 1 species
UACGUAGGGAGCAAGCGUUGUCCGGAAUCAUUGGGCGUAAAGCGCGCGUAGGCGGCCCUGUAAGUCCGCUGUGAAAGUCAAAGGCUCAACCUUUGAAAGCCGGUGGAUACUGCAGGGCUAGAGUCCGGAAGAGGCGAGUGGAAUUCCUGGUGUAGCGGUGGAAUGCGCAGAUAUCGGGAAGAACACCCGUGGCGAAGGCGGUUCUCUGGGACGGUACUGACGCUGAGACGCGAAAGCGUGGGGAGCGAACAGG